rnacentral:rRNA from 1 species
UCGACGAUUAGAGUUUGAUCCUGGCUCAGGAUGAACGCUAGCGGCAGGCCUAACACAUGCAAGUCGAGGGGUAACAGAAGAGCUUGCUCUUGCUGACGACCGGCGCACGGGUGAGUAACGCGUAUGCAACCUACCUUCUACAGGGGGAUAGCCCGGAGAAAUCCGGAUUAAUACCCCAUACGAUCCCGGUAACACAAGUUGCUGGGAAGAAAGUUUCGGCGGUAGAAGAUGGGCAUGCGUUCUAUUAGUUAGUUGGUAAGGUAACGGCUUACCAAGACAGCGAUAGAUAGGGGGCCUGAGAGGGUGAACCCCCACACUGGUACUGAGACACGGACCAGACUCCUACGGGAGGCAGCAGUGAGGAAUAUUGGUCAAUGGAGGCAACUCUGAACCAGCCAUGCCGCGUGCAGGAAGAAUGCCCUAUGGGUUGUAAACUGCUUUUAUUUAGGAAGAAACGCCUCGAUGUAUCGAGGUCUGACGGUACUAAACGAAUAAGGACCGGCUAACUCCGUGCCAGCAGCCGCGGUAAUACGGAGGGUCCAAGCGUUAUCCGGAAUCAUUGGGUUUAAAGGGUCCGCAGGCGGGCUAUUAAGUCAGUGGUGAAAUCUCUUGGCUUAACCAAGAAAUUGCCAUUGAAACUACUAGUCUUGAAUUCGGUCGAAGUGGGCGGAAUGUGUCAUGUAGCGGUGAAAUGCAUAGAUAUGACACAGAACACCGAUAGCGAAGGCAGCUCACUAGGCCUGAAUUGACGCUCAGGGACGAAAGCGUGGGGAGCGAACAGGAUUAGAUACCCUGGUAGUCCACGCCGUAAACGAUCAUUACUCGAUAUCAGCGAUAUACAGUUGGUGUCUAAGCGAAAGUGAUAAGUAAUGCACCUGGGGAGUACG